rnacentral:rRNA from 1 species
GAUGAACGCUAGCGGCAGGCUUAAUACAUGCAAGUCGAGGGGUAGUUUAGAUUCGUCUGAAUUAGACCGGCGCACGGGUGAGUAACACGUACGCAACCUACCCUGUACUGAGGCAUAGCCCCGGGAAACUGGGAUUAAUUCCUCAUAGUCCUUUAGAAUGGCAUCAUUCUUUAGGUAAAGCUCAGGCGGUACAGGAUGGGCGUGCGUCUGAUUAGGUAGUUGGUAUGGGUAACGGCCUACCAAGCCUGCGAUCAGUAGCUGGCGUGAGAGCGCGACCAGCCACACUGGAACUGAGACACGGUCCAGACUCCUACGGGAGGCAGCAGUAGGGAAUAUUGGGCAAUGGGCGCAAGCCUGACCCAGCCAUGCCGCGUGAAGGAUUAAGGCCCUCUGGGUUGUAAACUUCUUUUAUCAGGGAAGAAACCUCUCGAUUCAUCGAGAGCUGACGGUACCUGAGGAAUAAGCACCGGCUAACUCCGUGCCAGCAGCCGCGGUUAAAG